UGUGUGUGUCCUCAUUUGCAGAAGUC
rnacentral:piRNA from 1 species